GCUGGGCCUGGUGGCGCCCGCCUGUGAUCCCAGUUAUUUGGGAGGCUGAGGCAGGAGGAUCGCAAGUUCAAGGCCAGCCUCAGCUAUUUAGCGAGGCCCCAGCAACUUAGCAAGACCCUGUCUCAA
rnacentral:sRNA from 1 species